rnacentral:rRNA from 1 species
GGCCGGGGGGAUUCGAUUAGGCCUAACACAUGCAAGUCGAACGGCAGCACGGGUGCUUGCACCUGGUGGCGAGUGGCGAACGGGUGAGUAAUAUAUCGGAACGUACCUUAUUGUGGGGGAUAACGCAGCGAAAGCUGUGCUAAUACCGCAUAAUCCCUAAGGGGGAAAGCGGGGGACCGUAAGGCCUCGCGCAAUUAGAGCGGCCGAUACCUGAUUAGCUAGUUGGUGAGGUAAAGGCUCACCAAGGCAACGAUCAGUAGCUGGUCUGAGAGGACGAUCAGCCACACUGGGACUGAGACACGGCCCAGACUCCUACGGGAGGCAGCAGUGGGGAAUUUUGGACAAUGGGGGCAACCCUGAUCCAGCAAGGCCGCGUGAGUGAAGAAGGCCUUAGGGUUGAAAUUUAAGAGGUCAGGGAAGAAACAGCAGCUCUAACACAGUUUGCGAAUGAC